rnacentral:rRNA from 1 species
GGAGGGUGCAAGCGUUGUUCGGAAUCACUGGGCGUAAAGCGCGUGUAGGCGGCCUUCUCAGUCUGGUGUGAAAGCCCGGGGCUCACCCCCGGAAGUGCAUUGGAUACUGGAAGGCUGGAGUACCGGAGAGGAGGGUGGAAUUCCUGGUGUAGCGGUGAAAUGCGUAGAUAUCAGGAGGAACACCGGUGGCGAAGGCGGCCCUCUGGACGGAUACUGACGCUGAGACGCGACAGCGUGGGGAGCAAACAGGAUUAGAUACCCUGGUAGUCCACGCCGUAAACGAUGGGUACUAGGUGUUCGGGGUAUUGACCCCCUGAGUGCCGCAGCUAACGCAUUAAGUACCUCGCCUGGGGACUACGGCCGCAAGGCUA